CUACGGGGCGCUGCAGUGAGGAAUAUUGCACAAUGGGGGGAACCCUGAUGCAGCAACGCCGCGUGGAGGAUGACGCAUUUCGGUGUGUAAACUCCUUUUAUAUGUCAAGAAAAUGACGGUAGCAUAUGAAUAAGCACCGGCUAACUCCGUGCCAGCAGCCGCGGUAAUACGGAGGGUGCAAGCGUUACUCGGAAUCACUGGGCGUAAAGGAUGCGUAGGCGGGUUGGAAAGUCAGGUGUGAAAUCCUACAGCUUAACUGUAGAACUGCACUUGAAACUUCUAAUCUAGAGUAUGGGAGGGGGAGAUGGAAUUAGUGGUGUAGGGGUAAAAUCCGUAGAUAUCACUAGGAAUACCUAAAGCGAAGGCGAUCUCCUGGAACAUUACUGACGCUAAGGCGUGAAAGCGUGGGGAGCAAACAGGAUUAGAUACCCUCGUGUC
rnacentral:rRNA from 1 species